rnacentral:rRNA from 1 species
AGCGAACGCUGGCGGCAGGCCUAACACAUGCAAGUCGAGCGCCCAGCAAUGGGAGCGGCAGACGGGUGAGUAACGCGUGGGGAUGUGCCCAAUGGUACGGAAUAACCCAGGGAAACUUGGACUAAUACCGUAUGUGCCCUUCGGGGGAAAGAUUUAUCGCCAUUGGAUCAACCCGCGUCGGAUUAGCUAGUUGGUGAGGUAAAGGCUCACCAAGGCGACGAUCCGUAGCUGGUCUGAGAGGAUGAUCAGCCACACUGGGACUGAGACACGGCCCAGACUCCUACGGGAGGCAGCAGUGGGGAAUAUUGGACAAUGGGCGCAAGCCUGAUCCAGCCAUGCCGCGUGUGUGAUGAAGGCCUUAGGGUUGUAAAGCACUUUCGCCGGUGAAGAUAAUGACGGUAACCGGAGAAGAAGCCCCGGCUAACUUCGUGCCAGCCGCCGCGGUAA